AUAUUUGGUGAGACAAGUCAAUUAUUUGGUCGUAUAUUGCAUAUGAUUGAUGUAAGGAGGAUCUGGAUCUGGACCAAACUAAGAGUAUGCAAGACAAGGAACUUUCAUGAAGGUGCCAAAAAUUGCCGGGUUUGGGCUUCAUUGGCUUCUGUUUCAUUGGGUGAAUCUUCAUCAUCAGGCAGGUCACAAUCCUAACAUAGAUGUAGGAUUUGAAUGAGGUCAGGAAAGGGCUUAAUGAUGAGAUAAUGUUUAACAUAGUCUCUCCCUCUCUCCCCCUUGUUAAAAUUUUAUAAUGAUUAGCGCUGAUGAUUAUAGGUGAAGCUUUUGUCCUUUUUUU
rnacentral:misc_RNA from 1 species